rnacentral:rRNA from 1 species
AGCAGCCGCGGUAAUUCCAGCUCCAAUAGCGUAUAUUAAAGUUGUUGCAGUUAAAAAGCUCGUAGUUGAAUUUCGGGGUCAGUAGGUUGGUCGUGCCACCGGUACGUACUGGUCUCACUGAUUCCUCCUUCCUGAUGAGCUGUAAUGCCAUUAAUUUGGUGUUGCAGGGAAUCUGGACUGUUACUUUGAAAAAUUAGAGUGUUUAAAGCAGGCUAACGCUUGAAUACAUUAGCAUGGAAUAAUGAAAUAGGACGUUCGAUCCUAUUUUGUUGGUUUCUAGGAUUGACGUAAUGAUUAAUAGGGAUAGUUGGGGGCAUUAGUAUUCAAUUGUCAGAGGUGAAAUUCUUGGAUUUAUUGAAGACUAACUACUGCGAAAGCAUUUGCCAAGGAUGUUUUCAUUAAUCAAGAACGAAAGUUAGGGGAUCGAAGACGAUCAGAUACCGUCGUAGUCUUAACCAUAAACUAUGCCGACUAGGGAUCGGAUGAUGUUAAUUUUUAAUGUACUCA